rnacentral:rRNA from 1 species
AUGGUGGGGCGUGCCCGGCCGCACGCUGGAGGCCGUCCUCGAGUACAUCGAAGGCGGCAACACGCCGAGGCUGCAGUACCCCGACCCCCCGUCCUUCUCGCCGCCAUGGGAGCUCGUGGACGCCGAGGCGCAUGGACCCCGGGGCGUCCUCCUCCUCGUCCGCUCGGUCGACCGGCUCUCCCUGCCUCCGCCCCAUCAAGCCGGAGCCCCAAGACACGCCUGUCAGCCGGCGCACCCGCAGCUCCGGUGUCCGCAUCGCCGACUCGACCCCCGCAUCUGGCCGCCUCGUCCUCGUCGCGCCCAAACCGGAGCCCAGCCUCCCCCUGGAGUAUGAGGAGAUAG